rnacentral:rRNA from 1 species
AGGAUGAACGCUGGCGGUCUGCUUAACACAUGCAAGUCGAACGGGCGUAGCAAUACGUUAGUGGCGGACGGGUGAGUAACGCGUGAGAAUCUACCUUCAGGACGGAGACAACAGUUGGAAACGACUGCUAACCCCCGAUGUACUGAAAAGGCAAAUAUUUAUAGCCUGAAGAAGAGCUCGCGUCCGAUUAGCUAGUUGGAGAGGUAAAAGCUCACCAAGGCGACGAUCGGUAGCUGGUCUGAGAGGACGAUCAGCCACACUGGGACUGAGACACGGCCCAGACUCCUACGGGAGGCAGCAGUGGGGAAUUUUCCGCAAUGGGCGAAAGCCUGACGGAGCAAGACCGCGUGGGGGAAGAAGGCUCUUGGGUUGUAAACCCCUUUUCUCUGGGAGAAGUUGUGAAAGCAGCCUGACGGUACCAGAGGAAUCAGCAUCGGCUAACUCCGUGCCAGCAGCCGC